AUGCCACCCAACUUGUUUAGGGUUCAACUGGUUCGGGUGCUGCCAGGCUGCGACGACUUGUUACCUCCGAUUCGACCCGUCGGGGCCGACGAUGAUGACGUGAUGACCCUCAGCGCCUGCCUGAGCUGGCCCCUGCUUUGGCCGAAGAGCCAGAUUCGUUUGGGGGCGGGGGACACCACCCCAAAGACAACACCGCCAGUCGUGUCGGCGCCAAGUCGGCCCCAUGGCAAGACCGCCGUAACGGUGCCGGACAUCCCUAUGCCACUGGAUGCAAACAUGCAUAUGGCACAGGAUCAGAACGACGACGACGACGACGAUGAUACAUUUGGCAACGUCGAUCAGUACUUUGCCGAGCAUGGGUACGAUGGCGACUUCAUGGGGCCUCCUUCUCAAGAACCAAACCCAACAAAAGACGUGUGCGAUCUAGCUCGUACCGCGGAGAAGCCAAGUUGCAAUAGGCGCCGUCUGGCGUUCAGCUCUCAGGAGACGCCUCCAGCUGCCGACUUCACCGAGCCUCAGAUAGGCGAGGUGCGAAAUAUUAUCAGCCUCAACACACUCAAGAAGGCGGUCUGUGAGCAGAACUCGGUCCCAUUACAGGAGAAGAAGAAGGCACGCAAAAGAAAGACUAAGAAGGGUGCGAGCCAGCCGGCACCGAGUACGAUCCGUGCUCAGGACGGGCCACCUUCACCGCAGGAUAUCUCGAGGAGGGUGCAUGUGGCGGGUAGGGCGAUGCUACCACCAAAUAUGCUCAAUGCUGCAACCGGUGCUAUGCGGAGUCUGCACGACAGUGUUCUUUCUAUGGAGAAGCGGCGUCUUAGAGAGAAGGAUGUGGCAUACCCGGUUUUCGUGGCCAAGGUGCCAGAGGGCAAGGGCUUUGUGGAUGGCGACAUCGGGGGUAUGAUCGUCCUGCGGUUUGAUGACAUCUUUGCUAUGUUUAACCUUCAUCCGCUGCACUACACCUUCGUUCGGCUAUUUUCGCUGAGUAUGGAGAUGCGGAUCAUUCGCGACAAGACCCCGGACAUCGUGAUAGUCGACCCCUUCUACAUGCGUGCCAAGAUCUUGGGCAGCGCUAGGGACCGGCAAGUCGCGAGUUCUUACCUCGAAGGCGUCAUUCUGGCAAACCAAGAUAAGGAUAACUUCCUCGUGCCUUACUUUCCCGAUGACACACGUUGCACGCUCAUCCUCCUAAGCCCCAAAUAUUCCAUGGCCACGUAUUUCGACCCGGACCGUCAGUCGAACGUAGACUACACAAAUGUCAAGAAGGUUCUUGAUGAUGUUCUCCCCGGCUACGCCCAAUCUGGAGGCACCUUCACCAGGCCUAUUUGUAAGUACGGCAAGCACGUGUUCUCCCACAAUACGACGUUCUGCUGCGUCAAGCAGCCGCCUGGCGGUCAGAAGGGUGCCUACUACGCCAUCCAUCACAUGCGAGCGAUCGUACGGGACCAUCAUCAACUUCUGCUACCGAGUAAACUCCAAGAUUGGGCCGCGAGCGUGUCGGCAAUCCAGGACGCGGACCUCCGACAAGAAUUCUUUCGCAUCCAGUUGGAGUUUGCGGAAAUCAUCCAUCAAGAUGUCCUUCGUACCUCGGGGCAGUUCUACCUCAGAAAUCAACCGUCCAACAGUGACAUCGACACAAUGCUACAAAUGCAGGAUGACAACGCCCGUUCUUUCAUGACUCCCACGAUAGACGGCGGCUUCAUCCACGCUCCGGUCCCUUGA
rnacentral:rRNA from 1 species